AGUACUAUCCAGAUUGGAACAGAUUUACCCCAGAAGGUAUUGAAUACAAGUUCCAAAUCACUCUCAAAAUCCUAGUGACUGUUAACAUUCAUGUUUUUUUUGUCUGUGUGUUUCAGUAGUUGCAUGUCAGUUUGAAUGGUUCAUUGAGAGUGAGGAACCUAUGGACUCACACACACCAACAUGGAAUUUAAUUCAAAGAGUGACUCCUCUUCAAAGUACUUAGUCGCUUUUAAAAUCUUGACCAUUUCUGCUGUCUAGUUGAACAAGUGUAGCUGAAUACUGCUUCAAUAGGAAUUAGUGUUUAAUAGGAACAUAUUUGUGAAACUUACAGUUCCUCAAGCUUUAGCAUAAACUGGUGGAGACUUUCGGCGCUUGCAAAAAGGCUCACCUCUCUUAAUACUGAAGGAAAAUUGGAGUUUAAAAAACCAUACGAUUACACUAAUUUUGAUUAGGAAUUUAAAGAUUAUGAGCCCCGUCCGUUUGACUCGCAGUUUGGUACCAUAGGUUGGUACGAUCUUCGUUCAAGAAGGAAGAGGGAUGUUCCAGACACAGAAAAUCGUCAAACCAUUUACUACAAAGUCUGUUUCUGCUUAGUAUUAAUUAAUGCAGUUAACAUUUUCAGAUCGACAUGAUUGCAGAAUGGAGUCAAUAAAACAAAUUCCAUCUGAUAUUCAACAUAAAUUUUAAGUUUGGAAUAACAAGCUCACAAGAAAGAUGACCUGGUUUUAGAUAUCACUUGGGACCACAGACUAACAGACAAAGGAACAAAGCAAAACGACUCUGCGAUUUGAUGUAGAAACUCCUGACUCCGAAGCCUGCAGCCGCCCUCCAAUUCUCAAGUCAGAAGUGUGUCAAUGAUGGUGCAGAUCCAACAACACUGGAAACGAUCUUGAGUCUAGACCAAAGCAGCCCCUUGAUUGGCACCGUAUCCAUUCUCUCCACAACUAACUCCAAGACACAAUAAUGUGUCCAUAUACAAGAUGCACUGCCACAUUUUUUUCCAACUAUUCUUACACCCGCCUUUGCAGACUUAGAAAACUCAUCUUCAAGGUCAAGGACAUCAGACAUGGUAGCACUAAUCCCAGUAAAAAUCACCUCCAAGCUACUCUCAAACUGAUUUGGAAAUGAAUGAUUGUUCCUGAGUCAAUAUUAGUAAUCUCUUUUGGAACAGCAUUGUGGGCCUGUCUACAGCAACAUGAAGCUGUUCAAGAAGUCAAUUUGUGCUGGACAAUCAGCAACAGCUAUGUCUCAUUAAAGAAUAAAUAAAUCGGAAAGAAAUCCAUCUGAGAGUCACAAGCAAA